GGCCCCAUCGUCUAGCGGUUAGGACAUCGCCCUCUCACGGCGGUAACAGGGGUUCGAUUCCCCUUGGGGCUACCA
rnacentral:tRNA from 1 species